rnacentral:rRNA from 1 species
GAUGAACGCUGGCGGCGUGCCUAAUACAUGCAAGUCGAGCGAACAGACGAGGAGCUUGCUCCUCUGACGUUAGCGGCGGACGGGUGAGUAACACGUGGAUAACCUACCUAUAAGACUGGGAUAACUUCGGGAAACCGGAGCUAAUACCGGAUAACAUGUUGAAAGGCAUGGUUCAACAGUGAAAGACGGUCUUGCUGUCACUUAUAGAUGGAUCCGCGCCGCAUUAGCUAGUUGGUAAGGUAACGGCUUACCAAGGCAACGAUGCGUAGCCGACCUGAGAGGGUGAUCGGCCACACUGGAACUGAGACACGGUCCAGACUCCUACGGGAGGCAGCAGUAGGGAAUCUUCGGCAAUGGGCGAAAGCCUGACGGAGCAACGCCGCGUGAGUGAAGAAGGUCUUCGGAUCGUAAAGCUCUUUUAGUUGGGAAGAAGAAAAGUAUGAGUAUCUAUGCACGUCUUGACGGUACCUAAACAGAAAGCCACGGCUAACUACGUG